rnacentral:rRNA from 1 species
CAGCCGCCGCGGGAAUACGAAGGGGGCUAGCGUUGCUCGGAAUGACUGGGCGUAAAGGGCGCGUAGGCGGCAUACACAGUCAGAUGUGAAAUUCCUGGGCUUAACCCGGGGGCUGCAUUUGAUACGUGUAGGCUAGAGUGGGGAAGAGGGUUGUGGAAUUCCCAGUGUAGAGGUGAAAUUCGUAGAUAUUGGGAAGAACACCGGUGGCGAAGGCGGCAACCUGGUCCUUGACUGACGCUGAGGCGCGAAAGCGUGGGGAGCAAACAGGAUUAGAUACCCCUGUAGUCCCUGUCUCUUAUAC